AUUUAUAAAGUUUUUAAAACAUUUCAUUUUCAUUGAAAAGAGAAACAUAAUGUUUUGUAAAUA
rnacentral:tRNA from 1 species